GGACCCGUAGCUCAGCUAGGACAGAGCGCCGGCCUCCUAAGUCGGUGGUCGGGGGUUCAAAUCCCCCCGGGUCCGCCA
rnacentral:tRNA from 2 species